AUUUAAUUGUUUUAAGAAUAUUUGAAAAGGAUUAAAGAACUAUGCAAACAAAGAUGACGUAAUAAGGUAGAUCUUUAUUAGUCCCCUACUGGUUCCGGGAACUAGAGGAAAGCACUUGUCCGCCCAUCAUUCUGUCCGGCUGGCCGUCCGCAAUUUUGUGUCCAGUCCAUAACUAGGUCAUCCAUGAAGGGAUUUUAAUAUUACUUGGAACAAAUGUUUCCAAUUAUAAGACGACGUGUCAUGCGCAAAACUCGGUCCCCUACCUUAAAGGUCAAGGUCACAAUUCAAGGUCAAAGGUCAGUAGGGGUUUCUUGUCUAUGAUGAUGUGCUCUGGAGAGAUGCAGGUUCAAGGUCACACAUAGAUGUUAAAGGUCAAAAUUGACAUUAAACUCUUACUUGUAUGUUUUCCUUUGCAGCGACCACUUGAGAAUGAAAGGGAGCCCUUGGUGGAUGAAAGUGAGCAACCAAGCAAGAAAGUAAAGUUCUCUGUUGGUGAAAAAGUUUGGGCAUUGUAUAAGGAUGGACAUUCCUACAAGGCCAGGAUUAUAAGGAUUAACAAAAUUCCUACAGGGUGAAGUAUAUUCAAGAUGGAGUGGUCCAUGAUGUGGAUGGUGAAGGACUCGUUACUUAUGGUUGAAUUACCAGAAAUUUUCAUCUUAUGAACACAAUAGAGAUGUUAGAUCUUAAUCAAACUUGCACUUGUAUCAAUCCUUACGAGAACCAGUCAGAUUCCAUAUUACAAAAUCCUAUGAACUGAUUUUAUGUCAAAUUAACUCCGUCUGUUUCAAAUUAAAAUUGGUAUGUCCCAGUAACUAAUGAAGAUGCUGAUUUGAAAACUAUCAGGGGAGAAUAAUUAACUAUUACAAAUAACCUCACUUUAUUUUUAUGUUUUAUAUAUAUUGCAUGCAUGACCAUCUUGUUUUUCUGUGCUAGCAUCUUUUAUACUUUGUAAUACCAUUUUGUAAUUUCAUCCAGUUUUGUGAGGCAUUGUUUUAUUUGAUUUUUGAACUGGUUGUGACUUUGGGUAGAUUGACGGGGGCAGUCUGUCGCGUCCAUUACCUCCCUUUGUUUCAAAUUAAAAUACUAGGUUUAUUUCAGUAAGAAAUAAAGAUGUUUUGAAAUUUGAUUUAUACCCUGGGAUGGACUCGGACAAUCAGGGUACAUAACUAUGGACUAAUUUUUGUCAGAUUACCUCCCUUUGUUUCAAAUUAAAAUGGAUAUAUCUCAGUAGCUAAUGAAGAUACUGAUGUGGAAAUUCAUUAAUGAUGAAAGAUGGGCUCAGACAAUCAGGAAAGAUAACUGUUGACAAAUUACCUCCCUUUAUUUUUAUAUUGCAUAUAUUGCAUGGCCCUCUUGUUUACUGACCUAGCUUCAUAACUACUUUGUAAUACCAUUUUAUGACUUUAUCCAGUUCAUGAAAUUCAUCCAUUUGAUUUGGUUUUUAAUAUAAAGAUGAACAGGAUUUAAAUUGUAUGCAUUUAUCCUGUCAUGUAUUGUCAUUUUAUUAAAAAUAUGAUAUAAUUGGUA